UUGAACCCCGAGAUUUCUGAUAAUCGCUUUUUUUUUCAUUUUCUUGAACCCCGAAAUUUUCUUCUGCACAAAUGAUCCUCAAAUCACUACAUUUGAACCCCGCUCCCCUAUUUGCCAAAUAAUGAACCCCAUUCUCCGGUUUGAACCCCAGUCGCCUGACGAUAACUCACGAUCGCCAUUGUGAACCCCGUUCUCCAGAAAAUGCCGCAACAUCUCCCUUUCUC
rnacentral:lncRNA from 1 species